rnacentral:rRNA from 1 species
CCUACGGGUGGCAGCAGUGAGGAAUAUUGGUCAAUGGCCGGAAGGCUGAACCAGCCAUGCCGCGUGAAGGAAGACGGCCCUACGGGUUGUAAACCUCUUUUGUCGGGGAGCAAAGCGAACCACGUGUGGUUCAUUGAGAGUACCCGAAGAAAAAGCAUCGGCUAACUCCGUGCCAGCAGCCGCGGUAAUACGGAGGAUGCGAGCGUUAUCCGGAUUUAUUGGGUUUAAAGGGUGCGCAGGCGGAGGUGCAAGUCAGCGGUCAAAUUGCGGGGCUCAACCCCGUACUGCCGUUGAAACUGCAUCCCUUGAGUGCGCGAGAAGUAUGCGGAAUGCGUGGUGUAGCGGUGAAAUGCAUAGAUAUCACGCAGAACUCCGAUUGCGAAGGCAGCAUACCGGCGCGCAACUGACGCUCAUGCACGAAAGCGUGGGUAUCGAACAGGAUUAGAUACCCGGGUAGUC